GAUGAACGCUGACAGAAUGCUUAACACAUGCAAGUCUUUGGCGAAGCUGUGCUUGCACAGCCUAGCCAAGGCGGACGGGUGAGUAACGCGUAAGGAACUUGCCCUGCAGUCAGGGAUAACAGACGGAAACGACUGAUAAGACCUGGUAAAGUCAGGCGGACUCAUGUCCAGCCUGAUGAAAAGAGAUGCUGCAGGAGAGCCUUGCGUCCUAUUAGCUUGUUGGUGGGGUAACGGCCCACCAAGGCGAUGAUAGGUAGCCGGCCUGAGAGGGUGGACGGCCACAAGGGGACUGAGAUCCGGCCCUUACUCCUACGGGAGGCAGCAGUGGGGAAUAUUGGACAAUGGGGGCAACCCUGAUCCAGCAAUUCUGUGUGCACGAUGAAGGUUUUCGGAUUGUAAAGUGCUUUCAGCAGGGAAGAAAAAAAUGACGGUACCUGCAGAAGAAGCGACGGCUAAAUACGUG
rnacentral:rRNA from 1 species